GCUGAAGGCUUGGAAGGAAUCAUGUUGCCACACACGGUAUCUGAGUAGUGCCAUCUUCCCGGGCAAGACAUCAGACUUGGGAAGGCACACACCAUUUUAACUUGGAUGCACAGACACACAUCAUGUCCCAACGAAUCCUGGUAUGCACGCUCCUGGAACAAUCUGAAACAUCUCUGGGCAUGUUCAGUAUAUAACUCAAAAGGAAUGAGACUUGGUACAUGUCAGAUUCUCUGUGAGUCUCACGUCCAACAUGAACCACAGAAGAAUUCCACCGCAUCGACUCUUUAUGUACUCAGUGUGGGUGUAUAAGGGUGGAGCCUCUGUUCUUCACGAAACCUCCAGAUUGUGCUGAACUGGCCUUAAGUGCUGAAGAAACUCCGGGAAGCUAUGAUGAACUGGGUGCCAUCAAAAAAGGCUGUAAGGAGGAGAAAUCGGCCUAAUUGAACAAAGAUUACAGUACACAUGUAAGUGUCAUUUCAAGUGUUUCU